AAUCCAUAGGUUAAUGAGGCGAACCGGGGGAACUGAAACAUCUAAGUACCCCGAGGAAAAGAAAUCAACCGAGAUUCCCCCAGUAGCGGCGAGCGAACGGGGAGGAGCCCAGAGCCUGAAUCAGCAUGUGUGUUAGUGGAAGCGUCUGGAAAGGCGCGCGAUACAGGGUGACAGCCCCGUACACAAAAGCGCAUGUGUUGUGAGCUCGAUGAGUAGGGCGGGACACGUGGUAUCCUGUCUGAAUAUGGGGGGACCAUCCUCCAAGGCUAAAUACUCCUGACUGACCGAUAGUGAACCAGUACCGUGAGGGAAAGGCGAAAAGAACCCCGGCGAGGGGAGUGAAAAAGAACCUGAAACCGUGUACGUACAAGCAGUGGGAGCACCCUUUUGGGUGUGACUGCGUACCUUUUGUAUAAUGGGUCAGCGACUUAUAUUCUGUAGCAAGGUUAACCGAAUAGGGGAGCCGGAGGGAAACCGAGUCUUAAUUGGGCGUUAAGUUGCAGGGUAUAGACCCGAAACCCGGUGAUCUAGCCAUGGGCAGGUUGAAGGUUGGGUAACACUAACUGGAGGACCGAACCGACUAAUGUUGAAAAAUUAGCGGAUGACCUGUGGCUGGGGGUGAAAGGCCAAUCAAACCGGGAGAUAGCUGGUUCUCCCCGAAAGCUAUUUAGGUAGCGCCUCGUGAA
rnacentral:rRNA from 1 species